AACAAUUCAUUGAAAUAGAUUAAAGUCUAGUAGGGGGAGAUAUAUGUGGAUACCUUUAACCAGCUACAACCUGUGGUCCCCGCCCGACUUGACUGCAGAAUUUGAAAAGGACAGAUUACAAAUGAACAAAAGAGGUUUGGUACUCCAUACCGGUAUUGCCAGCACUUGGAAGAUGGAGGCAGGAGAAUCAGGAAUUCAAGGCUAGCAUGAGCCAUACUGCAAGCCUAGGGUGGCCAGCCUAAGCUAUAUGAGAUCCUGUUUAAAACAACAUGGAAAACGAAUGUUAUCGAUAUCUGUAUGAAUCUGCGGUAGGACCCAACCAUCUUCUUAUACGUUUUCUUCUCAUUUUUCCCUGCUUGGGGCUGGAGAGAUGACUUGGCAGGUUAGAGCACCGGCCGCUGACCUUGUCCUGCUUGGCUGAGACUUGACCCGACUAAGGACAUGGAAGGAACGAAGAGAAAACAAGCAAGCGACAGAAGGGCUGGGAUCAGGUGGGCUGUGCACACUGUGAUGGAGCUGCGAUGGCUGUAAAUACCAGGCUGAAGUAUCAUCAACCCUUUAUAAGCAAUUAUACUUGUACACACAGACAUACAUGCAUACAUACAUCUGUGCAUACAUACAUCUGUGCAUACAUACAUACGUGCACAGACCAUAGCAAUACACACAAUCAGUAAGUAAAUUUAAUUUUUCUUUAUCUUUGAGAAUUUCAUACAUGUCUACAAUGAAAUAUGAUUAUAUAUACUCCUCAUUUCCUCUAACUUCCUUCGUGUACCCCCUAACACGUCCCACAAAGAACCUCACGUCUCUUUUUAAAACAAUCAUUAAAUCCAGUUGUGCUGCCCAUAUAUACAUGGUGUAAGAGGAGCUACUGGAACAUGGGAAUCACUGGCCACACCCCCUACAAAGAAUAAAUCUUUCCCCAAAACU
rnacentral:lncRNA from 1 species